rnacentral:rRNA from 1 species
GAUGAACGCUGGCGGCGUGCCUAAUACAUGCAAGUCGAGCGAACAGACGAGGAGCUUGCUCCUUUGACGUUAGCGGCGGACGGGUGAGUAACACGUGGAUAACCUACCUAUAAGACUGGGAUAACUUCGGGAAACCGGAGCUAAUACCGGAUAACCUGUUGAACCGCAUGGUUCAAUAGUGAAAGUCGGCCUUGCUGUCACUUAUCGAUGGAUCCGCGCCGUAUUAGCUAGUUGGUAAGGUAACGGCUUACCAAGGCAACGAUGCGUAGCCGACCUGAGAGGGUGAUCGGCCACACGGGAACUGAGACACGGUCAAGACUCCUACGGGAGGCAGCAGUAGGGAAUCUUACGCAAUGGGCGAAAGCCUGACGGAGCAACGCCGCGUGAGUGAAGAAGGUCUUCGGAGCGUAAAACUCUGUUAUUAGGGAAGAACAAAUGUGUAAGUAACUGUGCACGUCUUGACGGUACCUGAUCAGAAAGCCACGGCUAACUACGUG